UAGAGCAAAUACUGCAUACGCAGCAGCAGUGCAAGCUUCCCUGUUCUACCCUGCCAAUUUGCUUCUCCCCUCUCAUGGAGGGAAGCCUCUGCA
rnacentral:sRNA from 1 species